rnacentral:rRNA from 1 species
AUGCAAGGAGCCAAGGAGGGUGGUCCAGCCGAGAGAAGGAUGUUGCGAGAGGGGAUGAAGCGGCAGUUGCGUGGCCGUGUUGAACCGAGCUGGUUGCCAGAGCGGAUGGAGUGGUGGCUGCACGGAUUCCUUAUUGGAGGUGCCGUACCUUCAUAUCCUCUGCUGCAGCAGAUGCAGAUGGAGCACACCGUGGGAUAUCCCCAUCCACCACGGUCACUGCCGUCAAGGGCUUCUUCAUGGAUCUGGGACGCCAUGGACCUGCAGCUCCUCAAGGUUCUUGUACCCCAACCUCUCGGACCCCUUGAACGGGGAGGCGGCUUCGCUGAUGACGCGCGACAAGAAGGCAUACAACCAGAAAGUCCAAGAAUCUGA